rfam:Triticum aestivum genome assembly, contig: Triticum_aestivum_CS42_TGACv1_scaffold_200799_3AL
CUUGUACUCCCUCCGUCCGAAAAUACUUGUCAUUGAAAUGGAUGUAUCUAGAUGUAUUUUUUGUUCUAGACACAUCCAUUUUGAUGACAAGUAAUUCCGGGCGGAGGGAGUACUUG